rnacentral:rRNA from 1 species
CGGAGGGUGCAAGCGUUAUCCGGAUUUAUUGGGUUUAAAGGGUCCGUAGGCGGAUCCGCAAGUCAGUGGUGAAAUCUCACAGCUUAACUGUGAAACUGCCAUUGAUACUGCGGGUCUUGAGUAAGGUAGAAGUGGCUGGAAUAAGUAGUGUAGCGGUGAAAUGCAUAGAUAUUACUUAGAACACCAAUUGCGAAGGCAGGUCACUAUGUCUUAACUGACGCUGAUGGACGAAAGCGUGGGGAGCGAACAGGAUUAGAUACCCUGGUAGUCCACGCCGUAAACGAUGCUAACUCGUUUUUGGGCUUUCGGGUUCAGAGACUAAGCGAAAGUGAUAAGUUAGCCACCUGGGGAGUACGUUCGCAAGAAUG